UUAACACAUGCAAGUCGAACGGGCUUCUUCGGAAGUCAGUGGCAGACGGGUGAGUAACACGUGGGAACGUGCCCUUCGGUUCGGAAUAACUCAGGGAAACUUGAGCUAAUACCGGAUACGCCCUUUUGGGGAAAGGUUGACUGCCGAAGGAUCGGCCCGCGUCUGAUUAGCUUGUUGGUGGGGUAACGGCCUACCAAGGCGACGAUCAGUAGCUGGUCUGAGAGGAUGAUCAGCCACACUGGGACUGAGACACGGCCCAGACUCCUACGGGAGGCAGCAGUGGGGAAUAUUGGACAAUGGGCGCAAGCCUGAUCCAGCCAUGCCGCGUGAGUGAUGAAGGCCUUAGGGUUGUAAAGCUCUUUUGUCCGGGACGAUAAUGACGGUACCGGAAGAAUAAGCCCCGGCUAACUUCGUGCCAGCAGCCGCGGUAAUACGAAGGGGGCUAGCGUUGCUCGGAAUCACUGGGCGUAAAGGGCGCGUAGGCGG
rnacentral:rRNA from 1 species